UUUUUUUUUAUUGUUUGUGUCGUGUUUGAUAAUAAUAAAAAAAAUAUAUUGUUUAAUGAUAUAAUAAAUUGAAAAUAGUAUGUUUUGUACUGUAUUGGAUACGAUUGUUGACAGAUUAAUAUGACAUUGAGUAAAAUAUUGUUGAAAAAAGAGUAAAUUAUUAUAUUUUUGCAACAAUGAAACAACCACCGCAAUUAAUUAAAUUCAAAGGAGUAAAUGAAUCAUUCAAUUAUUCUGGUUCUAAUUUACAUGGUAUAUUUGACAAAACUCCAAUAGUUGUGUUGGAAAAAAAUACAACAUAUUAUUUAAAAAAUGAUUGUUCAAUAAGCAAUAAUAAUUCAUCAAUUGAAAAUAAAUUAAU